GACGUAGGGCGCGGAGCGUUUGUCCGGAUUUAUUGGGCGUAAAGAGCUCGUAGGCGGCUUGUCGCGUCGUCCGUGAAAACCUGGGGCUCAACCCCAGGCUUGCGGUCGAUACGGGCAGGCUAGAGUUCGGUAGGGGAGACUGGAAUUCCUGGUGUAGCGGUGAAAUGCGCAGAUAUCAGGAGGAACACCGGUGGCGAAGGCGGGUCUCUGGGCCGAUACUGACGUGAGGAGCGAAAGCGUGGGGAGCGAACAGG
rnacentral:rRNA from 1 species